UGAAAUUACAGAAAAUUUAGGGCCUAAUCUGAAAUUACAGAAAAUUUAGGGCCUAAUCUGAAAUUACAGAAAAUUUAGGGCCUAAUCUGAAAUUACAGAAAAUUUAGGGACCUAAUCUGAAGUUACAGAAAAUUAAAGGACCUAAUCUGAAGUUACAGAAAAUUAAGGGAUCAAUAUGAAAUUACAGAAAAUUAAGGGAUUAAUACGAAAAAAACAUAAAAUUAGGGAUCUAAUAUAAAAUUUUCCAGGGACCUAACUGUUAUUUUCCAUCCCUAACCUAAAAAACAAAACGAUAAGGGACGGAAAAUAACAGGUUCCAGCCCCUUUCCGCCGCCAACA
rnacentral:lncRNA from 1 species